UACAUAUUUAUAAAUUGUUUUCUCAUAUUAUACUAGCGGAUACCCAGCGUGUGCUACUACUUUAAAAAACCAUCUUCGCAUUAUUGCCUUUCUAAUGAAAUCGGUCUGG